rnacentral:rRNA from 1 species
AUACGGAGGAUCCGAGCGUUAUCCGGAUUUAUUGGGUUUAAAGGGUGCGCAGGCGGCCAUUUAAGUCAGCGGUUAAAUCGUGGGGCUCAACCCCAUUCUGCCGUUGAUACUGGGUGGCUUGAUUGCGGUCGAGGUUGGCGGAAUUCGUUGUGUAGCGGUGAAAUGCAUAGAUAUGACGAAGAACACCGAUUGCGUAGGCAGCUGACCAGAACGCAAAUGACGAUCAUGCACGAAAGUGCGGGGAUCGAACAGGAUUAGAUACCCUGGUAGUCCGCACAGUAAACGAUGAAUACUUGUUUUCGGCGAUAUAAUGUCGGAGGCAAAGCGAAAGCGAUAAGUAUUCCACCUGGGGAGUACGCCGGCAACGGUGAAACUCAAAGGAAUUGACGGGG